rnacentral:rRNA from 1 species
CCUUCACAAUGCACGAAAGUGUGAUGAGGGUACUCCGAGUGCGCAUACAUUGUAUGUGCUUUUCUGCAGCGUAAAUAGUUGCAGGAAUAAGGGCUGGGCAAGACCGGUGCCAGCCGCCGCGGUAACACCGGCAGCCCUAGUGGUGGCCGCUUUUAUUGGGCCUAAAGCGUCCGUAGCCGGACAGGCGAGUCUUUGGGUAAAUCCUACGUCUUAAGCGUGGGAAUUCUAAAGAUACUACCUGUCUUGAGGCCGGGAGAGGCUGGAGGUACUCCUGGGGUAGGGGUAAAAUCCUAUAAUCCUGGGGGGACCACCGAUGGCGAAGGCAUCCAGCUGGAACGGGCCUGACGGUGAGGGACGAAACCCAGGGGAGCGAGCCGGAUUAGAUACCCGGGUAGUCCUGGGCGUAAAUGAUGUGGGCUUGGUGUGAGCGCAUCGACGAGGUGCGCUUGUGCCGUAGGGAAGCCGUUAAGCCCACCGCCUGGGGAGUACGGUCGCAAGGCUGAAACUUAA